CUUGUGAAGGGCACUGAAUAAUCUCUCUCUAUAUAUCGAUCUGCAGCAGAGCAAGCCCUAGCAAAAUUGUUCCCUCCCCACGCAGAUCAACCAUCGUUGCAGCUCUCACCUGGGUUACGUGAGGACAGAGCUCCAUUCAAUCCAAAAGCUUACAUUUUUGCUACUUGAUCGUAGAUCAAAAGAUUAUGAGGAUGGG